ACAGUCAUUCUCUGUCUAAUCAGGAACUGGAUGAUGCGUGUGGGCAGAAAUGCAGAGUGUAACACCUGUCAAAAAAGCCACCUAUUCCUUCAAUGAAGAGAUACGUGUGUGGACAGUGACUGUAGUUUCCAGAAUAGAACUCACCUGUUACCUUAGGAACUUCAGAUACUUCCAAGGGUGUAGUACCGGUGCACCAGGCCGGUUUUCCAGCUGAGUGAAUCCAAUCAACAUUUCCAGCUAAACUAGGGCCAGGAAUAAUAUUAGACUCCUUAUCAAAAUGGGUUGAAAAUCAAGGAGCUGUGAUGUACAAUAGAGGUACGCUCAAACGCGGAGGAAAUGUUCAACCCUGACCUGACCCAGUGGCCAAUGAUACUGCGAUUGGCAAGGAAGUCUUAUUCAGGCCAAAUGCUGCACUGGCAGAGAGCAGGGAAUGUCUCCAGGAUGGAUACAUGAGGACAGAAGAGUGGAUGAACAACAGCUAGGCAGGAACAGUAUUCUGUAUAAGAGAGAAGACACCAAAUGAUUACACUGUCAGUCAGCAUCAUCUUAAGCUGAUUGUUUGUAGACAUUUCUAACAAUUUUUGUACUACUAUCACUAUGUGAAUGAGACAUAAGUUUCAAAAUUAAUUGUUCAUUUUUUCUGCCAUAAAAUUAUUAGAUGUUUUUUUUUUAUUUUCUAUUCAUUUCAUAAUUCUGUUAAUUUAUUUUAUUAUUUCGGGAAUAAGACAAUCAAUUAUGCGUUCAUGCUUUUGACUUUUUUUUAAUAAUUUCCCCCCUGCUCCCUUGCCGAAAAGGAAAGAGGAUUAUAUUUAUGUUGUGUGUGUGUGUGUGUGUGUGUGUGUGUGUGUGUGUGUGUCAGAGCAAUC